GGAUAACUUUAGUAUGCAUGGAAUUAUUGUGCAUUAAUUCUGUUUGUAAGUAGCUUACAUGAAGACCUAGGGAGAGAUUGCAUUAUAGACCAUUAGGGUACAGGACUCCAGACUGAAACCAGCUGUUUAGGGCCUGAACAGUGUACAACACUUGGACCAAAAGCCUCAGAAUGAGUUGGUGAAGCCUCAGAAUGAUCUGGUGAAUAUGGACACAAAGCCACUGCUGGUUGGAAAUCAGAAUAACUUGUACAGUUUUCAUGACAACCAAAAGGUGAGCAUGCUUUCUACCAAAACUUUUUGCUUGAAUGAUUCGUCUAACAAUUACACGACUUUGAUUUGGAAAUAGAAAUCGGUGUACAAUGCUAAACAUGUUUGUACAGGCUUUCUAUUGACAACAACUGGUUAUAACUAAAGGGGACAACUAAUAUGCUUUACGAAGAGGAGCUGUGUUUACUAACAGAAUGGUCCGCUUCAAUAACAAAACACACCACAAAUGUUGUAUUUUUCAGUCAUGGACAUGGUUGUAACUGUAUUUGUUGGAAUAAUGUCAAAACUAUUCUCAUUUCUACUAUAAGAUAAAACUAAUUCAAAAAAUCAAACGUUCUUUGAAUUGCUGUUUGUAUGUGUUUUUUUCUAAUCUACUUCAGUCAAUAACAUAAUAGCAGUAUAUAAGUACAU